CUGGAGCUAUGUCGAAAAUUCAUUCCUCCAUCACUCACAUGUAUGAAAUUACAUAUGGAAACAGACCCCAGGUUGAAAAAAACCGAAGUUCCCCUUUAAGGGGAGGAAUUUAGCUACGGUACUCUGGAAGAAUUUAAGAAAAUCAGCAAAAUUAGUUCAUUUGUUGGAAGAAUUUUGAGCAACACAACAGCUGUAAAUAAGUUGCUUUUGUACAGUGCAAUCAGGAGCCUGUUUAUAUUGAGUACAAACUGUGCCAUCCAGCUGGCACAUUCUCCCCACUCGACUUAAGAAAAAUCUGAUUUUAAACCUCGACACUGAAUUAAACAGCUUGUUAACGUGUCUGUGCUGUGACACAUGAGCAGCUGGAGGAAUGUACAAACACUGACAGUGUGUGUGUGUGUUGUGGUGUCUCGUGUCACAGCACAAAGACUUCUGUACGCCGCCGUUUGUGGGAACCGGCGCCCAGCACUUACGUAACCAACUAGGUCGUCAUGACAACAAAGCUACAGUAAAUGAGUUGCAUUGUCCCAGCAGCCCUUACAGGUGUUUGAGAGAUGGGAGUCAGAUGAUCAGAGGAGAUGAAGGGUGUCACAAUCAGUAUGUCCAGGCUGGAAAAUCUGUUUGUGGUGUUUGUUGUCUCUGGAGGGUCGGAGCUUUGCAGCGGAGAGUCACCAGAACAUCAUUCCACAGAUGAACAAAUCAGGAAGUGACACACAGAUACACCGCUGGCAUGAAUGUCAGGCCCAGGCUCCCACGGGUGACGGUGAUGUCAUCCUCCCUGCCUCUCUGUCCGUCCGGCCGUCCGUCCACGCUGCCAUUGUGACUGCAAGGAAAGAGGUAGAGCUGACGUUGAAUGGUCAGUUUGCUUUUUCUGAAUCAUGGUGUUCUCCCAGAAACAACAGACUUCAUGUGACCUGUGGUGAACUUAGCGGAAGAGAUGAAUUAAUGAAUGGAUGGAGCGAUGGGAAGGAGCUCAAAUCACCCAGCAGAGUGAGCCAAGGGGCCAAGGGAAAGGAUGGACCACACUAUGUACUGCCUUCAAUGCAUAAAUUCUGAUUUCUAGGAAUAAUAGUUAAACACCAUAAAUACAGUUAGCCCAUGAUAUGAACAUUUUCCUAAAAUUCUGUCCAAUUUUAACAGCAUUCAGAUAACUUCACAGAGUAAAACCAUGGCAACUGCUGGAGCUGAAAAAUGAAGCUGAUGCAGAAGCACCGGAAGCUGCAGUUUCUCCAAUGGCCACUUGGGGUUUCCUUAAUAAGCAAGUCAAUCCCAAUAGACACCAAUGUUAAAAUGUCCAGUGUUAAAGCAGAAAUAAACAUAUUCGCAACUUGAAACAAAAACUGGUGUUGGUCUUUG